GAUGAACGCUGGCGGCGUGCCUAACACAUGCCAGUCGAACGAACACAUGAUGAGCUUGCUCCCUUGACGUUAGCGGGGGACGGGCGAGUAACACGUGGAUAACCUACUUCUAAGACUGGGAUAACUACGGGAAAACGCGUCUAAUACUACCUCAUAUAUUGUACCGCAUGGUUCAAUGGUGAUAGACGCCUUUCCUGUCUCUUAUAGCCGGAUCCGCGCCGCAUUAGCUAGUUGGUAAGGUAACGGCCUACCAAGGCAACGAUGCGUAGCCGACCUGAGAGGAUGAUCAGCCACACUGGAACUGAGACACGGUCCAGACUCCUACGGGAGGCAGCAGUAGGGAAUAUUGCACAAUGGGCGAAAGCCUGACGGAGCAACACCGCGUGAGUGAUGAAGGCCUUCGGAUCGUAAAACUCUGUUGUUGGGAAAGAAAAAAUGUGUAAUAAACCACGGACGUCUUGACGGUACCUAAACAAUAAGCCACGGCUAACUACGUG
rnacentral:rRNA from 1 species